UCAAAACAAAUUUAAAUCCAUGUCGACCACCUGAAUGAUCUUCAGUGGCGUUCACCUGAGUUCACUGGGGUGCACGCAUCUGUCUCCGGGCCUUUGCACUGCCGGUCCUCACCACCCACCCGGCGCAGAUGCUGCGGCAUUUCCAAGCAGAAAAUAAGAUCUUAACAACCGAGACUGGCUGAGGAGGCCGCUCUGUGUUUCCACGAAGCUAUCUGCUAACAUUUAUCCUGUCAUGAGACCCUUGCCCAGGACCCGUGCAGACUGAAAAAUGGCUGUAAACGUCCGGUGUAUUUUGAGAAGAGCGGCUGUAGGACUGGGAAGAUUCUCAACCGCCAUCAUAAGGAAGUCUAAUUUCUGACGAUCGCAGAAUGUGUUUGGACGCCGUCUGCUGCAACGAACCCCAGCAAUGAGAAAUGGAACGUCACCUCCUCGCGAGGACAUGUCACUGACAGCAGAGCACUUUUCAACGGCGAUCUUCUUAACGAUAAAGAGCACGACCUACCUCGACUCCGUUCAGAAGAUGCCGGAACUCAGGGCAGAUGAAGGAGCUGCCCGCGUAGGCAGCGUCGAUGUGCAGCCACACGUCCUCCUUGUUACCUGAAAUCCAGAGGUGACCUGUGAGUUCCCCGACAGAUGCCCUCCUCACGGGGGCCUGAUAACUUACUGCAUACGGUCUAUCAACAGCAUUUGCUGGCCCGAUGGUGGACCCUAACUGGCUCCUUGAGUCUGAAGGCAACGCAACUGAGGGUGGUUGGCCCCAGACUGUGGCAGAGCACAGACAAGGUGCUCAGUGAAUGUGUGGACUUGAAGGAAGGAAAAUGGGAUCCCCCGCCCUGCUUGACUUGAAGGUGGAUGCUCAUGGUCUAAGGGCUCAGCCCGCCCUAACCCUUGGGGUGCCUUUUUCGCAGUCACACUGCCUUUCUCUGUCUUCUGCCAUCUCAUCCACUGGGAAUGUGCUCCCCAUUCUCCUGGAUUAGGGGUCCUAAAGUCUUCCCCCACAAAGUCUUGGGGGAUCAGCAGGGUGUGCAGCCCCAGUGACCCCCCUCCCCCCCCAUUCCAUCCCCCCGUAAAGCAUACUCGCUUAUUUUAGGCCAUCCACAACCACGCCAGGCUCCUUUGGGAUGCGAUUUCUGCUUUCCAACCGCACCGGAAUAGCCUGGCCGGAAGGGACCACGUCUGACUUUACAGGUGGAAUAGCAUCCUGAUUAAAUUUGCUCCCUCAGUUGGGACUGUCUGGGUUCAACCCCUGCCUCCAACGACCCAGCAGCUCUAUGGCCUUACGUCCUUUCAAACUCAGUCCCCUCCCAGGCAAACAGGUAUAAAAAUCACACCCGGAACGUCAGGGAGAGACAAGAUACCGCCUGUAACUGCCUAUCACCACACCUAGUUUGGGGUCGUGAGAAAUAAGGGUGAUCAUCGCGAUGAGUCCCUCCGUGGGUGCUGGGCACGCAGCACUCACGAGACACGUAACCACGAAAGGUUGGGGCGUCUCGGUGGGGAGGAGGCGCCCUGCCCGUACUGGGUCAGGACACCACCUGCGUGGCUCAGUCAGCCCCUGCCAAAUGCAUCUGUGCCGACUGAUAGGCGCAAGGCUCGCUUUCUCAUGCGUGAUGCUCGCUAAUCACACCCGAUGCCAUGAGGAGGGACAGGUGGCUCUGAGCUCUGCUGACACAAGUUCUCAGAGGCGUUUCAAAGCCUUGAUUCCAUCUGAGCUUCAGGAUUGGAGGGAUCAAAGCACUCGGUUGGAUCCAGACCAAAUGCGCUCCGAGGACACGUGAUAGUGCCACCGAGGGUCACGGUGAGGGUGAGCUCUGUGUACCCGGAGGCACGUCUCACAGGCGAAGGGCGUGUGGGCUGGUCCCUUUGUGGAGCCGUCUCCCUGGCACCACAGGGCCCCACAUGGAUGUGGCCGGGAGCCAGUGAGAGCACAGAGCCUCAGGACAAUGUGGGAUUUCUGCUUGGAAACCACCGCUCAGCCAGUCUGGAACACAACAGUGCUCCUGUUGCUUAUCGUGCGACUGCUGUGGCUCUGUAGGCUGUGGGCAGGUGGAAACUUCAGAGGCUCUUAUAGGACAGACAUGAAACCUCACAUCCACUCUGUGCUCUCCAGGGGACCGUUUGCGCUGGUCAGGAAACUUCGUUCUCUGUUAGAGGCCCCUCUGGGGACUUUGAGACUCCCAUGUGUCUCCCUUCAGAACCAUCGAGGGAAGAGGUGAGGCAGGGCAGGACCCCAAGGCCUGAACAGGCAGCCAAGUCAGGAAGGACACGAGCCAUGAGGGUAGGAGGUGGGGACCAGGUUCCAGCAGCAAGAGAAAGGGCUCUCUUUUCUUCACUUCUCCAUCACCCUUGUGAGAGGACCGUUUGGUAAGAGUAGAAACCUCAAGUUAUGGGGCGCCCGGGUGACUCAGUCAGUUGAGCGUCCAACUCUUGAUUUUGGCUCAGGUCA